AGGGUAAUAGCUCAAUGGUAGAAUGCAUGCUUAGUAUGCAUGGGGUCCUGUGUUCAAUCCUCAGUAUCUCCA
rnacentral:tRNA from 1 species